rnacentral:rRNA from 1 species
GAUGAACGCUGGCUGUGUGCCUAAUACAUGCAUGUCGAACGAAGCACUUGUGCUUAGUGGCGAAUGGGUGAGUAACACGUACUUAAUCUACCUCUAGGUUUGGGACAACAUUUGGAAACGAAUGCUAAUACCGAAUAUACCUUUUAACCGCAUGGUUAAUUGGUAAAAGGCCCGUUUGGGUCGCCAAGAGAUGAGAGUGCGGUACAUUAGUUAGUUGGUAGGGUAAUGGCCUACCAAGACGAUGAUGUAUAGCGGGGUUGAGAAGCUGAACCGCCACACUGGGACUGAGAUACGGCCCAGACUCCUACGGGAGGCAGCAGUAGGGAAUAUUCCACAAUGAGCGAAAGCUUGAUGGAGCGACACAGCGUGCAGGAUGAAGGUCUUCGGAUUGUAAACUGCUGUUAUAAGGGAAGAAAAACCGGUGUAGGAAUGACAUCGGCUUGACGGUACCUUAUCAGAAAGCACCGGCAAACUAUGUGCCAGCCGCCGCGGUAAU